rnacentral:rRNA from 2 species
CAAAGAUUAAGCCAUGCAUGUCUAAGUAUAAACAAAUUUAUACAGUGAAACUGCGAAUGGCUCAUUAAAUCAGUUAUAAUUUAUUUGAUAUUCACUUACUACUUGGAUAACCGUGGUAAUUCUAGAGCUAAUACAUGCGUACAUAACCUCGACUUCUGGAAGAGGUGCACUUAUUAGAUAAAAAGCCAACGCGGGCAACCGCUUGUAUGGUGAUUCAUAAUAAUUAAGCGAAUCGCAUGGCCUUGUGCCGGCGAUGAUGCAUUCAAAUUUCUGCCCUAUCAAGUUUCGAUGGUAGGUUAGUGGCCUACCAUGCUUUUAACGGGUAACGGGGAAUUAGGGUUCGAUUCCGGAGAGGGAGCCUGAGAAACGGCUACCACAUCCAAGGAAGGCAGCAGGCGCGCAAAUUACCCAAUCCCGACACGGGGAGGUAGUGACAAUAAAUAACAAUACAGGGCCUUUACGGGUCUUGUAAUUGGAAUGAGUACAAUUUAAAUCCCUUAACGAGGAACAAUUGGAGGGCAAGUCUGGUGCCAGCAGCCGCGGUAAUUCCAGCUCCAAUAGCGUAUAUUAAAGUUGUUGCAGUUAAAAAGCUCGUAGUUGAAUUUUGGCCUUGGGUGGUUUGGUUUGGCCUUCAUUGGUCAAUGCCUUUUCCGCCUAGGUCUUACCUUCUGGGUUAGCUAGUGUCACUUCGGUGGCGCUAGUGAACCAGAACUUUUACUUUGAAAAAAUUGGAGUGUUUAAAGCAGGCUUUCAAGCUUGAACAUAUUAGCAUGGAAUAAUGAAAUAGGACUUUGGCCUUAUUUCGUUGGUUUCUAAAGCCAAAGUAAUGAUGAAUAGGGAUAGUUGGGGACAUUAGUAUUCAAUUGUCAGAGGUGAAAUUCUUGGAUUUAUUGAAGACUAACUUCUGCGAAAGCAUUUGUCAAGGAUGUUUUCAUUAAUCAAGAACGAAAGUUAGGGGAUCGAAGACGAUCAGAUACCGUCGUAGUCUUAACCAUAAACUAUGCCGACUAAGGAUCGGAUGGUGUUAUAUUUUAUAUUGACCCAUUCGGCAUUUCAGCGAAAGCCAAGUUUUUGGGUUCCGGGGGGAGUAUGGUCGCAAGGCUGAAACUUAAAGG